rnacentral:rRNA from 1 species
CCUACGGGUGGCAGCAGUGAGGAAUAUUGGUCAAUGGGAGAGAUCCUGAACCAGCCAAGCCGCGUGAGGGAAGACGGCCCUCUGGGCUGUAAACCUCUUCUGUCGGAGAAAAAAACCCGGGACGUGUCCCGGACUGCGUUUAUCCGACGAACAAGCAUCGGAUAACUCCGUGCCAGCAGCCGCGGUAAUACGGGGGAGGCGAGCGUUAUCGGGAUUGAUUGGGUUAAAAGGGUGCGUGGGCGGUCCGUUAAGUCAGCGGUAAAAUUGCGGGGCUAAACUCCGUCGAGCCGUUGAAUCUGGCAGACUGGAGGGGGCGAGAAGUACGCGGAAUGCGCGGUGUAGCAGUGAAAUGCAUAGAUAUCUCGCAGAACACCGAUUGCGAAGGCAGCGUACCGGCGCCAGACUGACGCUGAGGCACGAAAGCGUGGGGAUCGAACAGGAUUAGAUACCCCAGUAGUC